rnacentral:rRNA from 1 species
UACGUAGGUGGCAAGCGUUGUCCGGAUUUACUGGGCGUAAAGAGCGCGCAGGCGGUCGUUCAAGUCGAGUGUGAAAGCCCUCGGCUCAACUGGGGAGGGUCAUUCGAUACUGAUCGACUCGAAGGCAGGAGAGGGUAGUGGAAUUCCCGGUGUAGUGGUGAAAUGCGUAGAUAUCGGGAGGAACACCAGUGGCGAAGGCGGGUCUCUGGGCCGAUACUGACGCUGAGGAGCGAAAGCGUGGGGAGCGAACAGG